UUAAUUUGAAGCAACGCGCAGAACCUUACCAACCCUUGACAUGGAUAUCGCGGGACCAGAGAUGGUUCUUUCAGUUCGGCUGGAUAUCACACAGGUGCUGCAUGGCUGUCGUCAGCUCGUGUCGUGAGAUGUUCGGUUAAGUCCGGCAACGAGCGCAACCCACACUCUUAGUUGCCAUCAUUCAGUUGGGCACUCUAGGAGAACUGCCGGUGAUAAGCCGGAGGAAGGUGUGGAUGACGUCAAGUCCUCAUGGCCCUUACGGGUUGGGCUACACACGUGCUACAAUGGUGGUGACAAUGGGUUAAUCCCAAAAAGCCAUCUCAGUUCGGAUUGGGGUCUGCAACUCGACCCCAUGAAGUCGGAAUCGCUAGUAAUCGCGUAACAGCAUGACGCGGUGAAUACGUUCCCGGGCCUUGUACACACCGCCCGUCACACCAUGGGAAUUGGGUCUACCCGAAGGCGGUGCGCCAACCUCGCAAGAGGAGGCAGCCGACCACGGUAGGCUCAGUGACUGGGGUGAAGUCGUAACAAGGUAGCCGUAAUCUAGAUGCA
rnacentral:rRNA from 1 species